rnacentral:tRNA from 1 species
CGGGCGGUAGCUCAGCCUGGUAGAGCUUCCGGCUGUAGACCGGAGUGUCGCAGGUUCAAAUCCUGCCCGCCCGACCA